UACGAAGGGGGCUAGCGUUGUUCGGAUUUACUGGGCGUAAAGCGCACGUAGGCGGAUCUUUAAGUCAGAGGUGAAAUCCCAAGGCUCAACCUUGGAACUGCCUUUGAUACUGGGGAUCUUGAGUCCGGGAGAGGUGAGUGGAACUGCGAGUGUAGAGGUGAAAUUCGUAGAUAUUCGCAAGAACACCAGUGGCGAAGGCGACUUACUGGACACAUAUUGACGCUGAGGUGCGAAAGCGUGGGGAGCAAACAGG
rnacentral:rRNA from 1 species